ensembl:lncRNA
CAUUAGCCACACAACAGCCGGGGACACAGCUGCGGUUAAUCUCAGUUUGGUAGGCUUGUAAUAAAAGUUUGAAAUAGCAGGACUGGAGGUUGAGCACCUGGUCCAUUUUGGCGAGGAGGGUUUCAAGCCGCGGUCAGCGUGCGAAUCAGCGCUGGCCUGAACUCAAUUCCAGGCCCUUAAAAAAAUGACUUUCAUGCAAUUCAGAGUUGGGGUGGUGAUCAAAACGUGCCUGGAGGGUCCUGACUGUCCUUCAGCUCCCCAACAGGACUGAACAAAGGGUCAGUUUUCCAACCAGGUCUUUAAACAUAUCCAGCGGCGUUUCCUUAUUCGAUUAUUACUGAUGAUAUGUGAGUAUGCUUUGUAACAUGAACACAAUUCCAUACAAUUGGAGGUUUAAUACGUUGCACGCGUUGCUGUCAUUCUGUCCACCCUCUUAGACUCUCUUCCUUCCUAAAACAGUUGAUGCAUCUUGCUUUUGGCUUGGAAACAUGAAUGUCACUUGUAUGAAUGGUUUUCUUCUGUGAUGUCUAAAUGGUGUCAUUUGCUCCAGAUGCCCGCCUCUGUCUAUUUGAUGUGAGGACCAUCAGAAGUGAAAGACAUCUCUCUGCUGCUCGCAAACACUCCCGCGCACUUCCAAAUGCUGGUCCCUCCCCAUCAGAUAUGCUCCAAGUCUAGACAACGUACCGGCGGACGGAGCAAGAAAAUGAGGAGGACCGGUUAGUGGCUCCUGGCUGACUGAGUCGGAUCCGACACCAUUAGUCCGACUCGCCGGCUCAUGUGCACAACUGGCUUCUUAAAGAAGUUUAGGCCUGAGUAGCCUCGCAGACGCUGCGUUCCAGCCCCUCUGUUUUACAUCUGAGCCUGAUGAAUCCCUCACGUCUCCGGUAGGCCUGUCAUACCGCCAAUCACUGCAAGGACCCAUCACCACGGCAACAACGGGGGUGUCGUGGACACAUUCUGUUUUAUCGAUAGCAAUCACAAAACUAAUUUCUGUCGUCCUAGUCGUGCUGUCACACACGUGUAGGAUGCUGAGAGCAUCGAUCAUCGCCCUCGUAUCUCCUCUGAAGAAACAACACAAGCGAUCCACUCAGCUGGCAAAGAGAUGGAGACAAAGUGUCAGGACAGCGCUGAAGUACAUCAGAGAUGAUAUUAAAUUCAGGCCUUAAUGCCGAACAUCCCAAAAAAUAAAGCUUCAUCAACUCCAGCAAAUCAAAUCCAAUGACAAAUGACUAACAAACGGUAGCGGAUGAAGUAUUCAUCCUUUAUUUAACCUAUUUUAGAAACCAACUUCUCUGCUGGAAGGACGUUUGUCAUUAUCAUUUUAAAGAGAAAGCCUAGGAAAUAUGAAGUUGGCACAUGGAAUAUGAAAUAUGUGAGCAAUUACCAGGAAACAAGGGGGUAAAAAAGUUGCCACUUUGUUUCAUUAUAAGAAUUGUUGCACAGACCAAUUUAGGAGCUUGAGCCACACUGGAGCAGAUUUCUUUGCGAUUGGCCUCAGCUGCUCCGAUGUUGAUGUCUCAUUUUAAUAAGCUUUAUGAAACUGCAACGCAAAAAUGUUGUAGCACUUUUUGAAGUUGUAAAACUUCUUGAUGAAAACCCUGUUACUUUGUUACCCAUGUUACUUUGUAUUAAAAAGGUUUUUUGUUGUGGAUUAAUUUUGUGAAUUUAAGUAAAAUGUAUGAAAUUGACA